AGGAAGAGCUGUGCAGGAGCCCUGAUGAAGCAGCAAGAAUGGCACUGCUGUGAAGGGCUGUGUGUGAGAAAACCAGCCAGAGGGUAUAGAAGUUACUGAAAGCAUUCAUAAGAUGACUUCAGAAUACAAAUCUACAGCAAUGAAGCUUUUGCAGGGUUGAUGUUAGUUCACUGGAAGGAUUUUCUGCAGAAAGGUCGUAAAAUACCCUGCAGUCAGAAAUAUGAGGACAAACACUUGGGAGACCCUUCUGAGAUGGCAGUGAGAGGUGCAACUGUGUUCUCCAUGUGAUAUUAAAAACUGCACUACAGCAAGGGUGACCCCUAAAUGGAGCUUCAGGACCAGUACCAAAGCCUUCCCUAGCAUUAUGUAGAGUUACUUUGCAGAGACUAUGUAUGGUGGUAAAAAGCCCUAAAAAUGAUGAGCCAUGGCAAAGAAGGGCACAGGGAUGGGGAGAAGGUGCUCUGAAUGGCAACCUGGUUUUCCAUACAAUGAAUAUGUUGGGUGUUAUUUCUGCAAAAACCCAGUGAAGCCUCACAUACUGUUAGCCCAUCCAGGGCAUUGCACAAUUAAUAUUUUUUUAGAAGCUGUGAUUUAUAUGAUCUUUUAAAAGGAAGGAAAAGAUAACCAUUGCACAUUCAACUGCCUGAGAAGGUAAAGCACAGAUAAGAAAUCAAUGUUGCACAGGCUUUACAAAGAGAGUGCAUCCUGGUCCCAGAUGAGCCUGACAAUGUUUGCAUUCUCACAGAGAAGAAGAGCUAAUCAAAGCUGUGACACAGUUAAGUUCCCUUAAAUUAGAAGAUAAGCAGGAAGGAGAAGUGAGGUCCCCAGGAAAUUAUUUGAUACUUCAUUUGCACUCAAGAGUCAGCCCAACAACUGUCACUGUCAGAGGGGGACAGAAACACAGGAGAGAAGCUGAUUCCUUAAGAUAACACUGAAGGAGCAGAGCACUGCUGAUUUGUUUCCUCAGCUUCUGUGCCCCAGAGAAAUCUCACAAUGACAAGUACACUGGAAGUUGCUUUUGUUGUUUAUUGUUUCCCUUUCAGGACUUGAUUUGUAAUCAGGAAUUUAACCUUUCUUUUAUACAUAGCUUGUUUCAUAAAUAAACUUGCCAAGCUUCUGAAGUUGAGGGGAAUCUUGUAAAGCUGUGCAUGUGUGCUGCUUCAGAGGCGAUGAGUUCAGGGAGAGUGUAGGCAUUCUCUGAAGGGGAGCAGGUCUGGAAAUUCAGAAAACUGGAUAUUUUUGUGCACCAUCUGGAGAAUUUGGGGUUUGGGGUUUGCAGCAGCAUGUGCCACUGGCAGAGUGCUACCAGACAGAAAUAUGGGGGCAACCACAACAACGCUGCAGCCCUGAAGAUUAUAUAAUACAAAUAAAUGUAACAAUAUUGUUUCAAAUGUCUGCUCCCAUUUAAAGUGGGCAUUGAAAAUUAAAGUAGGUUUGAAGGCGACUGUAUUCUGUGAGCAAAAACAUGUGAGCCCCAAUCCUCUAUAAAACAGGGUGAAGGUUACCUGACCUGCGUAGUUCAGGCUAAGAAAUCUCCAUAAAUGAACUCCAUUUCUCUAGAAAGGCCUCUGUUCAUUACCAGCAGGGUUCCUGCAUGCAGGAAUCACAACAGCAACUCUCAAAUCCUACCACUGCUUUUAAGAGCCUAAAUGUAGCUGGAAUUCAUCUGAGGUCAAUUUUGAGCCAGUGACUCAUCUCAGUUCUUCUAAUGAUGUGCGUUGAAGUUUGUUCCAGCUUAAAUUAGAGAUUCUUUCCGACCACAAAGAAAUCCGUAGCUUCUUAGGGAAAAAACAAAACCAAAAACACCCCAACUUUUUC